UUAGAGUUUGAUCCUGGCUCAGGAUGAACGCUAGCGGCAGGCUUAACACAUGCAAGUCGAGGGGCAGCAUGGUGGUAGCAAUACCACCGAUGGCGACCGGCGCAAGGGUGCGUAACGCGUGAGCAACAUGCCCUCUUCACGGGGAUAACCCGGAGAAAUCCGGCCUAAAACCCGAUGGUGAUCUGGACAGGCAUCUGUUCCGAUCUAAAACUGAGGUGGAAGAGGAUUGGCUCGCGUGACAUUAGGUAGUCGGCGGGGUAACGGCCCACCGAGCCGACGAUGUCUAGGGGAACUGAGAGGUUGGUCCCCCACACUGGAACUGAGACACGGUCCAGACUCCUACGGGAGGCAGCAGUGAGGAAUAUUGGACAAUGGAUGGAAAUCUGAUCCAGCCAUGCCGCGUGAAGGAAAACGGUCCUAUGGAUUUUAAACUUCUUUUGUACGGGAGCAAUAAGGUGCACGCGUGCAUCGAUGAGAGUACCGUACGAAUAAGCAUCGGCUAACUCCGUGCCAGCAGCCGCGGUAAUACGGAGGAUGCGAGCGUUAUCCGGAUUUAUUGGGUUUAAAGGGUGCGUAGGCUGCGCGUCAAGUCAGCGGUGAAAUGUACGGGCUCAACCCGUAACGUGCCGUUGAUACUGCCGUGCUGGAAUACCGUUGCCGUGGGAGGAAUGUGUAAUGUAGCGGUGAAAUGCAUAGAUAUUACACAGAACACCGAUUGCGAAGGCAUCUCACGAAGCGGGUAUUGACGCUGAUGCACGAAAGUGCGGGGAUCAAACAGGAUUAGAUACCCUGGUAGUCCGCACAGUAAACGAUGAUAACUAGCUGUCGGCGACAGACAGUCGGUGGCCAAGCGAAAGCGAUAAGUUAUCCACCUGGGGAGUACGACCGCAAGGUUGAAACUCAAAGGAAUUGACGGGGGCCCGCACAAGCGGAGGAACAUGUGGUUUAAUUCGAUGAUACGCGAGGAACCUUACCCGGGCUCGAACGGUGCAUGACGUGUCCAGAGAUGGGCAUUCCCUUCGGGGCGUGUACCGAGGUGCUGCAUGGUUGUCGUCAGCUCGUGCCGUGAGGUGUCGGCUUAAGUGCCAUAACGAGCGCAACCCUUGUUGACAGUUGCCAUCAGGUUAGGCUGGGGACUCUGUCGAGACUGCCACCGUAAGGUGUGAGGAAGGGGGGGAUGACGUCAAAUCAGCACGGCCCUUAUGUCCGGGGCGACACACGUGUUACAAUGGUGGCCACAGAGGGACGCUACCUGGUGACAGGAUGCCAAUCUCGAAAAGCCAUCCCAGUUCGGAUCGGAGUCUGCAACCCGACUCCGUGAAGUUGGAUUCGCUAGCAAUCGCGCAUCAGCCAUGGCGCGGUGAAUACGUAACCGGGCCUUGCACACACCGCCCGUCAAG
rnacentral:rRNA from 1 species